AACAAACGCUGGCGGCGUGCCUAAUACAUGCAAGUCGAACGGUGUAGCAAUACCUAGUGGCGCACGGGUGAGGAACGCGUGGAUAAUCUGCCUUAGAGUGGGGGAUAACUAGUCGAAAGAUUAGCUAAUACCGCAUAAGACCACAGGAGCUGCGGCUCUAGGGGUCAAAGGUUUUUCGCUCUAAGAUGAGUCCGCGUAAGAUUAGCUAGUUGGUGAGGUAACGGCUCACCAAGGCGACGAUCUUUAACUGGUCUGAGAGGAUGAUCAGUCACACUGGAACUGAGACACGGUCCAGACUCCUACGGGAGGCAGCAGGAGGGAAUAUUGCACAAUGGGAGCAACCCUGAUCCAGCAAUGCCGCGUGUGUGAAGAAGGCCUUCGGGUUGUAAAGCACUUUAGGUUGGGAGGAAGGUGAGUAGUUUAAGAGAUGAUUCACUUGACUGUACCGACAGAAUAAGCACCGGCUAACUC
rnacentral:rRNA from 1 species